AUAUUAGAAGACUAAAUACUGUAUUUGCAAUUAAAACUAUCAAUAUGAGCUUAGGUGUUGGUAAGAAUGAAAGGAGUUUGUUUUGUGUAGUGGGCAUCAGUUGAAUUUACUUUCUAGUCCUUUAUUCCCAGCAGCCACAAAGCAUAACCGACACCUCCUUUUCUUUUCUCUUUUCUCUCUGCCACGGUGAUCUCCUCUUCUACUUUGUGUUAGCCGCUUCUUAUUGUUUUUCUUCUCUUCUUCGUUCCCCUCUUUUCUUCAUUUCCCUUUUGAUAUAAACCCAAAUCAGACUAAACUAGGAAACCAACCCAAAGAUAUAUAUAUGUGUGUGUGUGUGUGUGUGUGUGUUUACCUCCACCUUCUCCACGUCCUCUAUUUUCUCUUCUAUGCUAUUAAAACCCAAAUCAAACCUAUGUAUGGCAACACAGAAAUAAAGGGACCGACAAUUGACACAAUUAUUUGCUUGCCAAAUAUUGCAGUCCACUGUUGGACGCUUGUCAAUGCUUAUUUUUCAGACACAAUUGACUAAACAUGUAUAGCUUUAUGUUUGAAUUCUUGCUUUUAGAAUGUUUAAUUAUGUUGGUAUAUUGAUUAAAUUACCAAGUUGCCUGGCUGAGGUAUUUCUGUGCCAAGUGGAGCACUUGCUCAUACAACUGUUUUCUUUAUGUUUUCCUUGGUACAUUUGCAUUCUCUGGUUUUUGAAAGUGAAAAUGUAUCAAAGUGAAGUAACCAAAGUGCAUUUGGAUAGAAAAUUCUCUCUCUCUCUCUCUCUCUCUCUCUCUCUCUCUCUCAAGUGUUGAUUUCGUUUAAAAUGAAUGGUUAUGAUUGGACUGGAUGUGGUUGUUUAUUAUGAUUUUAUUGCCUCAAUAUUGUCUUGAUUGAAUUUGUUAUUGGUUACUCACUGUUAUGCGUGUCAUGUCUUAAACAUUUUUGUAUCUCUCCCUUCCUUCUUUUUUUUUUUGGGUGGUAAUUUAUUAUUAUACUUGGGACAGAAGAUCCCAACCCUUCUAAUAUCUAUAAAUCAUUUAUUUUUAUUUAUUUAUUAUAAAAUCUAGCUACAAAAAAGUUUAGAUCCAUACUACUUAAGGAACAACUGUUAGAGAGCAUUUUUUUACGUACAUCGGAAAGUUAAAAAACACACAGCAGGGCUAAGCCCUCUCCCUAGCUCUACUAACGAUGUUUGCAACUAGCAGACUUCUAACUUCUGAUGGUGGUUCAUUAACCACCAAUAUAUCCUCUGGUUGCUCCGCUCCAAGCUUUGGUAGUGCAUUCGCAUACAAAUUUCCUUCCUUGUAGAUAUGUUGCACAGUACAUUCACACUCACGCAUAAUGAUCUUAGCAUCUUCUAUUAAGCCUUUGUAUGGAGAGUUGAUCUCUAUUUCCUCUAUUAAGAGUGUCACAGCUUGCAUGGCAUCAGUUUCAAUAAUCACUUUAUUCAUACUCUUUUGUAGCAGAACUAUUAAGCCUUUGUAUAUUGCCCAUAGCUCAUUUUCAAGACUUGUCCCAUCCUGGAGUCUGCCAUAAUAUCCACACACCCAAGCUCCCGCUUCAUCUCUGAAUAGGCUCCCAAAUCCUCCUGCACCUCCAAGUUUCCUGCAACCAUCUGUAUUGAGCUUAAUUUGACCUGCAGGAGAUAAAGUCCACUUGAUUAGUGUGAAGGCAAGCUUGGGGUUAACAAUGGCUAGGGUAAAUGCCUGGUUAAUUUCAUUAGCAAAAUCUAAAAUAAGCUUCACACUCUCCUAUGUACAAAUCACAGUGUUUUCAAAAAUUUGGGAGUUCCUGUUUUUCCAAAUUUUCCAAAGGCACACAACAAAAACAGUAGACCAAGUGAGAUGCUUAUUGAAAUGUUUUUUGUUUUUGGCAUUAGAAGUAAGCCAGUCCUGCCAAGGUUUAUCAAACAUUUGCAGAUACCAUUCCCUCCCAAAGAUAGCUAACCAAACAACUUUGGCUUUAUAGCAAUUCCUGAAAAGAUGGUUCAAAUCUUCCACCUCCCUACAACUGAGGCAUAAAGGAUCAGAGGUUAGACCUCUUUUUUCCCUCAACUGAUUAGUUAAGAGUUUACCAAGGUGGGCAGUCCACAAAAAAAUUUAAAUUUUCUGGGGUAAUCUCAGUUUCCAUAGCCAACUCCAAUCUUCCUCAAUACCUAUAGUGCCAGAAAUGAUGUUUCUAAUUUCAUAUGCUAGGACCGACGACUUCUUCAUAUCCCACCUCAGGUACUGGUUUGCUUUCAUGUAUUUAAUUUAUGCUUUAAUUUAUAUGCUGUUUAUUAUAUUCUUAUAUAAUUUGUUUAUUUUUAUAAUGUGUUCCAAAUCCAGUGAUUGAUUCACAAGCCAACUCAGUUUCUUUAUCUUCCCCCCGAGGUCGAGGAUUUGCGAAAGGCAUUAAAGAUUGGAGCACGGGCAAGAAGUUGGCCAUUGAUUUUGAUGCCGACUUUAAUCCCACGGGAGAUAAUGAGUCUAAGUUAACUAGCCAACUUGGAUUCAUGGUACGUAACGGGAACAUUGUUUCUCUUACGUACGUUGAUUGGACCGAAGUGCCUAUUGAUGUUCUUAAGUCAAUAUGAGCGGAUGUUAAAGUAAAAGCAUAUUUACUAAAUUGUUUAAUUAUAUUAUUAAUUGAACUAAUGAUUUAAAUUGUACUGUAGGAUAAUUUAAAAAUUUGUCCGGAGGGGUACACACCACGUUGCUUGAAAAAGUGUAAUGACUAGUGGAAGGAUCACAAAAGCAAGAUCAAGAAUAAGUAUUUUAAGCCUAACAAGGAUCAUACUAAUAUUAACGACAUGGUGCUUUCGCAAAUUGUUCCAGAACAGUGGUAUGAUCUUGUUGAUUAUUGGAAGACUAAGAAAGUACAUGUAUAUAAAAUAAGUUAAUUACAAAGCACGUAUUUUUAGAAAAAUUAUUAACUUUGUAUACUUGCGACUUACAUUUAUGCAAACUUUGUAGGACAUUGUAGUCCAUAAUGUUGGAAGUCGUUCAUUUCAUUAUAUUAAUUAUACGACAAGACGUACUUCAUUGACUCAGAUUCGAAGGAAGAUGAUUGCUAAAGGGUUGCCCACGGAUAAAAUGAGUGUUUGGAAAUAUACACACAAUCAAACUGACCCUGAUGUUAGGCAAACCAUGUUUGAGCACCAAUUGUCCAUGUUGCCUGAAGACUUGUCAUUGAGUGGCCAGAUGCAUUGAGUGGCCACCGUGAACCUACAGAUUAUGACACCGAUGAGAACCCACAUACACCACCACCAAAUGAUGAGGAUGUAAUUAAAGUUUCUUUGGAGAGUUUUGUAAUACCAAGAGUCCAAUUGGCGGAGGGACUUCUUAUUAGUGUUGAUCCGUUGUGUGAAAUUGAUGGAGUUCCAAUUGGCCCUGAAUAUUGCAAAGUUUUUGUUUUAAAAGCGAACAAGCCGAACGUUGUUUUGGAAACAACAUCUCGAUGUCUACGAAUAGUUGGAGAAGCGGUGGGAAGAUACAUUGUCUGGCGCUUGAUUCAUGUAUAUGUUACAAUCUUAUUUAUUUAUUUAUUGAAAUAAAUAUCAAAUGUUUUACAUUUUUUGUAAGCUUGAAAUUAAUUAUAUUGUAAAUGAUUUUUUUUUUUGUUUUUUUUGUUUUUGUUUUUGCAG